UGUAUCUUGGUGUAACUGGUAGCACACUGGCUAUUGGGCUGGGGGUUAGGUUCGAAUCCUAAGAUACACCA
rnacentral:tRNA from 1 species